rnacentral:tRNA from 1 species
UCCCUGGAGGACUAGUGGUCAGGCCACAACGCUCUCGCUGCUGCGGCCCAGGUUCGAUUCCUGGCCAGGGAA